CACGUAGGGCGCGAGCGUUGUCCGGAAUUAUUGGGCGUAAAGAGCUCGUAGGCGGCCUGUUGCGUCCGCUGUGAAAGCCCGGGGCUUAACCCCGGGUCGGCAGUGGAUACGGGCAGGCUAGAGGUAGGUAGGGGAGAAUGGAAUUCCCGGUGUAGCGGUGAAAUGCGCAGAUAUUGGGAAGAACACCAGUGGCGAAGGCGGUUCUCUGGGACGGUACUGACGCUGAGACGCGAAAGCGUGGGGAGCGAACAGG
rnacentral:rRNA from 1 species